rnacentral:rRNA from 1 species
UACGUAGGGUGCAAGCGUUGUCCGGAAUUAUUGGGCGUAAAGAGCUCGUAGGCGGUCAGUCGCGUCUGCUGUGAAAACUCGGGGCUUAACUCCGGGCCUGCAGUGGGUACGGGCUGACUAGAGUGCGGUAGGGGAGACUGGAAUUCCUGGUGUAGCGGUGAAAUGCGCAGAUAUCAGGAGGAACACCGGUGGCGAAGGCGGGUCUCUGGGCCGUAACUGACACUGAGGCGCGACAGCGUGGGGAGCAAACAGG